UGAAUACGAGACGCUAAGGCGUCGAAGUAGUGUAUGUCAUACUUCCAAGAAAAGCCUGCACUGUCAUAAGUAAAAAAUGCCUGUACCAUAACCGACACAGGUGGGUAGGUAGAGCAUACUAAGGGGCGCGAGAUAACUCUCUCUAAGGAACUCGGCAAAAUAACUCCGUAACUUCGGGAGAAGGAGUACCUUAUUCUAUAAGGUUGCAAUAACAAGAUCCAAGCAACUGUUUAUCAAAAACACAGGUCUCCGCUAAGUCGUAAGACGAUGUAUGGGGGCUGACGCCUGCCCAGUGCCAGAAGGUUAAAGAAGUCGGUUAGCAUUAGCGAAGCUGGUAACUGAAGCCCUGGUGAACGGCGGCCGUAACAAUAACGGUCCUAAGGUAGCGAAAUUCCUUGUCGGGUAAGUUCCGACCCGCACGAAAGGCGUAAUGAUUUGGAUACUGUCUCGGAGAGGGGCUCGGUGAAUUAGACUUGUCUGUGAAGAUGCGGACUACCUGCACCAGGACAGAAAGACCCUAUGAAGCUUUACUGUAACUUGAAAUUGAAAUUGGACUUUAUUCGCGCAGUAUAGGUGGGAGGUGUUGAUUAUAAUCUUGCGGGAUUAUUGGAGCCAUCAGUGAGAUACCACUCUUGUAAUGUUAGAUUUCUAACUUUGAAUCAUUAUCUGGUCAAAGGACAGUUUCAGGCGGGCAGUUUGACUGGGGCGGUCGCCUCCCAAACGGUAACGGAGGCGUACAAAGGUUUCCUCUGAACGGGUAGAAAUCGUAUCUAGAGUGUAAAGGCAUAAGGAAGCUUGACUGUGAGACCUACAAGUCGAACAGGGACGAAAGUCGGUCUUAGUGAUCUGACGGUACUGAGUGGAAAGGCCGUCACUCAACGGAUAAAAGUUACUCUAGGAUAACAGGCUGAUCUCCCCCAAGAGUUCACAUCGACGGGGAGGUUUGGCACCUCGAUGUCGGCUCAUCGCAUCCUGGGGCGGUAGUACGUCCCAAGGGUUGGGCUGUUCGCCCAUGAAAGCGGUACGCGAGCUGGGUUCAGAACGUCGUGAGACAGUUCGGUCCAUAUCCGGUGUAGGCGUUAGAAUAUUGAGAGGAGCCUUCUUUAGUACGAGAGGACCGAGAAGGACAUACCUCUGGUGUACCAGUUAUCGUGCCAACGGUAAACGCUGGGUAGCUAUGUAUGGAGUGGAUAACCGCUGAAAGCAUCUAAGUGGGAAGCCCACCUCAAGAUAAGUAUUCUCAU
rnacentral:rRNA from 1 species